CCUACGGGUGGCUGCAGUAGGGAAUUUUCGGCAAUGGGGGGAACCCUGACGGAGCAACACAGCGUGAACGAAGAAGUUAUUCGUAAUGUAAAGUGCUUUUAACAGGGAAGAAAGAGAAAUUUGACGAUAGCUGAAGAAUAGGCUGCGGCUAACUACGUGCCAGCAGCCGCGGUAAUACGUAGGGAGCGAGCGUUAUCCGGAAUUAUUGGGCGUAAAGGGUGCGUAGGUGGCAUAGUAAGUCUUUUGUAAAAAUGCUGGGCUCAACCCAGUAGGACAAAAGAUACUGCAAAGCUAGAGUAUGAUAGAGGCAAGUGGAACUACAUGUGUAGCGGUAAAAUGCGUAAAUAUAUGUAAGAACACCAGUGGCGAAGGCGGCUUGCUGGGUCGAUACUGACAUUGAGGCACGAAAGCGUGGGGAGCAAACAGGAUUAGAUACCCGAGUAGUC
rnacentral:rRNA from 1 species